UACGAAGGGGGCUAGCGUUGCUCGGAAUCACUGGGCGUAAAGGGCGCGUAGGCGGCGUUUUAAGUCGGGGGUGAAAGCCUGUGGCUCAACCACAGAAUGGCCUUCGAUACUGGGACGCUUGAGUAUGGUAGAGGUUGGUGGAACUGCGAGUGUAGAGGUGAAAUUCGUAGAUAUUCGCAAGAACACCCGUGGCGAAGGCGGCUCUCUGGAACGCAACUGACGCUGAGACGCGAAAGCGUGGGGAGCAAACAGG
rnacentral:rRNA from 1 species